rnacentral:lncRNA from 1 species
UUGAAAAAGAAAACAAAGGAAUGAGAGUAAGAGAGAGUAGGUGACUAUGCCUCUAUGUUCUGCAUGAGCUGCAGUUGUGGAGGAAAAAGAGAAGACAUAUGUAGAAAACGAAACAGGGAGAGGACACGGAGGAAAAGUAGAAGGAUUUGGGCUGACACCUUCUUUGGAUCUUCGGAUCAAAAUCUUUGAAAGGCAAGUGUUCCGAUCCUUCCUAUU